CAGCGGGCUCCAGGGAGGGAGGCGUCCCUACCCCGCUCACCGCCGCGCGGCAGGCAGGGAGCGCACCCCCGUGCAUUGCGGGCUCCCGGCCCGGAGACCUGCAACAGAAGGGAAAGAGAAACUACGAGGAUCAGCUGCACCCCCAGCAAUGCGGGCGCUGGCAAGCAGCCCGGGCUGGCUCCUCCUUCUCCUCCUCGUCCGGCACCAAUGGGAGCCUCCCGCGCGUAGCUUGAAAUGCUUUAAAUGCAGCUGGGCUGGCUGUCAGUCAGUCAGGCUGGGCCAUGGGGUGGGUGGGUAGGUAGGUUGCAGAGCUGCGUGUAGCUGCUGUCGGGGUCCCCACGGGGCAGCGCCGCCCCUGAGCCGCAGCCUAGUCUGCCGCUGCUGCCGGGGCCCUGCGGGGGAGGAGCGGCCCAGGGCGGACCGUGCUCCAGCCUCUGGCUGUGGAGAGCUCUGGCCCUGCUCCUGCUGACAGCUGUUCUGGUGCUGACACUGCUGCUGAAAGCUUGUUAGGAGCUGUCACUGAGACUGAAACAACAGCCGCAACUGUUAUGGCAGGGAAGUGCAGACCCUGCCCAGAAGACUGGAUGUGGUACAGAAUUCAGUGUUUCUAUUUCUCCAAAGAAAUGCAAAACUGGAACAGCAGUUGGAAGUUCUGCUGGUCACACAAUGCUACACUUGCUGUGAUAAAAGAAAGAUCAGCACUGGUGAGAAUAAAAGAUGCCACUUUCUUCUUGUGCAGGGAUCUUCAUGGAUCAUUUAUUUCUACCUAGUACUUGUAGCUAAUAAUCUCCCCACAAAUAGAUUAGGCAAACACAUUUUAGCAGAAGCAGGCUCUUCAGACUUUCUGUAUUACUUUACUCAUGCUGAGGCUGCUUUAAAAAAAAAAAAGGCAGGGAAAUACAGAUUCUCCAAAAUAACAGGGUAGCCUGUUUCCUUCAAGAGUUUGGGGGUUUUCAGCCAUGUACUUGACUAAAAGUGGAGGCAUAGUUCAUGUGUAUAAAAAAAAAAAAAAAAAAAAAAAAAAAAAAAGGGGGGGGGGGGGGUUUGCCAGGAAGGAGCAGGUUGGGAAAAAUUCUAGAGACCAGUAAUAAUUCAGGGGGUUCAAGAAGGGACACUGGCUGAACUAGAGCCAGGAAAAGAGCUGGGAGCAAGUCUUACUGGAGAUGUGAAGGUGCACAGGGAGAAGAAUAUGGAUACUGGGAGCUAGGGAAGUGCACACAGUGGCACACUUCCAUAGAAAGGAAGUGUGAUCCCCUAGACCAAGCGGGGAAGAAGUCCAAGCCCUGGCUGAGAAGUAGAAAAGGCUUGAAGAGAGAGGCUCCUCAGCAAGGCUGCAGUUGGAAAAGACCUUCAGAUCUCUCCUUGGAGGAACAGGGAGCCCAGCCCUGCCAGAAAGGGAUACUGGGAGUCUGAAGAGGGGUGGAGUGCAGGGCAGAACACUGCAAGAGCGGUAUAUUGAAAAGACUUGAUAGACCAAAUCCCACAAAUACUGUGUACUAAAUGCUCCUGGCUGCAACUAACUGAGAGAACAAAGAGGCGAUUGAGACAGAAUGACUGCAAUGCUCCUCCUGGCCAUCAGGUAGCUUGUUCCUGGACUGUGCCUGCACCUCUACCAGUCUCUUCAUAUUCUAUCUCUAGCAUUUAAAUGGUGUCAAUAACUGUUCUUUUCUGUUCUUAAUUACAGGAUACUAUCUACUCUAAUAAAGGAAAAGAAAAUUACUGGAUAGAACUAAGGAAAGAAACAGAGGGAUGGCGGUGGGUAGAUGGAUCGCCUUUCAUCAAUGACAUAUGAGUUGGUCUAGUGACUGCCUGGAGGGGUGGGGUGAAGCACAUCUCUGAUCAAAGCCAAGGGAAAAAAAACCAAGCUGUUCCCAAAGCAGACUUGAAGUAUCUAUAUGCAAAUGUAUUUUAAGUUUUUUUUUUUUUUUUUUUUUUUUUUUUUUUUUUUUUUCCAGUGAUCUGAGGGUUUUGCCAAACAUAAAAUGGUGUUGGUUGGCUUUGACUUUGGGAGGUGUGCAGAUAUGCUUAGCAGUUCUGUUGCUUAUCUGAAACACCAACUCCAGAAUAGAAGCUGUUUUUUGGGGGGGGGGGGGGGGGUUUCAGAAUUUUACUAGAAAAAGAGGGGCAAAACAUGGCCUGUGCAUACCUAAAUAUGGUAGCUGUGGUUCCUAUAGACUGCAUGACUUUACGACACUGGAUCUGUGUCAAGAAGUCCACUUGAUCUCUCACUGUCAACAGAGCACAGCUUGUUCAAGUAAGUCACAGGUGCAGCUUUUGUGGUUUUCCAUUUUACCUGGGGAGGCUCCUCCAUUGUACUGUAAUUGGGACAACAAAUGACUCAAGUUUUUUGGGAUUUUUUUUCCUGUCUGGCGGGGGGGGGGUGUUCAGGUGUCUGCCAUUUGCUUUUACUAGAUAAGAACAUAAGUAGUUCAAUCCUGGGUCAUACCAAUGGUCCAUUUGGCCCAGUAUCCCAUCCCCAGCAGUGACAGGAGUGCUAUACAGGGGGAGAACUAACCAGAUAUCCCUAGAGUGAUCUAUCCUCUAUUUAGUGGCCUCCCUGACAUCCACCAUUUAUUGCUUUAGAGGUGCCAAAGGAAGCCUCUCCAACCUUCUAUGCAAAUUGUUAAGUAGCUGCAUGGCCAUCUAGACUUGCUGUUUUUGGGGGCACUGGAGUGGCCAAGGGAUUUCCAACUGGCACAGCCCUGUCACCUUUAACAUUGCUUAGGUUUAGAGGAAAGCGAACUAUAAGUUGGCAUUCUUAAUUCCUUGCUUUGGCUGUGUACCAAACCACCUUCAGAAACCCCUGCCACACUGCUUGGAGAGGUUAACUUGUAAUAGUUAGAGUACAACAGGACUGAUACGUUUCCACGAUAACCAAACAGAGCUAAUCUGUAAAAACAUGCAAAAUACGCUCAUUCACACACUCAAGAAUUUCUAGAGUUUUCAUAUCUGAAACGUUAUUCUGAACAUUCAAAACAAUAGAAAAGUUCAGGUAGCUAGGCUCUGUGGUGACGGUGAUUGAUCUCUGGAAAUGUUUUUUGUUUCUAAUCAAACAAUUUCAUUUUAUUCAAUUUGUGAUUUCUUGUCUUCAUCACUACAUCAGAAGCAUUAAUGAUGAUGCCGGUGCAGAAAGGUGGGAAGAAACCAAACAGAGAACUCCCAACUUUGCUUUCUGUUCCAUGGGCUUCAGCUGUAUUCUGGACUGUUAAAUGUCCGACUUGAACACUUUAAUAUUUGGAAACAGACUUGCUUCACAUGUUGAAAAGCAUCUAUUUUGGAUAAAGAGAAUUUAAGAUUUGGUUUUUUUGUUUGUUUUUUUUAAAGUAUAAACCUUGAUGUUCCUAUUUUUAUGUUAAUGUUUUGUACUUUUUAUGUUAAAUGCCUAAGGUGGAUGUCUUGUGUUUUGUCUAUUAUCUGUUUUCUAGAUGUUAGAUUUGUUUCUCCUGCCAGGAACUCAAAACUACUAAAACGUUCCAAACUUAAUGCCCGUUUUUCCUGCUAAAGACAAUUCUGAGGCCCAGUAGUAUCCUCCCUGGGAAACUCCUUUCUUGGUAACACAGAAACAACCUUGCUUUGAAGCAGUAACGUUUAUGCCAGGGUGAGGACAGAAAUUGAAAUUAAAAAAUAAAUAAAACUACUUCAGCACAGGAGGUGGGUACAGCCUCUGCAGUCUGCUGCACUGCUUCAAAAUUGCUCCCCAGCCAUGGUGUGCAACAGGUAGCUGCAGGCAGCAGAUCUUCUGGAGCCCCCUUCCCCUGCCAGAACUAGGAUGCCAUAGUGGCACCCCCCUCCUCUAGAAUUAAAGAGGUAUCCAGGGAUUGGGGACUGAAGAGGCAAAAUCCCAGCUCCAGCACUUUCUCUGGCAGCAAUUUGGGGGCUACACUAAAUGUAUUGCUAACGUGUUGACAACCUGUACCAAAUGUAUUUCCUCUGCAUACCAGGCAGUUUUGGAAGAGUUCUGCCCCAGCUACUCAAAAUAGAUCAUCACAAAUAGACUGGAAGGCAAUUCACAUAUUUACAGAAUACUUUCUUGUCAGAUUCAACUAUCUACCCUGUUUCUUACACUAGUGCAAAAUAAGUUACUAAAAACUUUUCUAUGAUACAGUCUGUGUACUUUUAUAUCCCCCAAAUGUGUGAGUUAACUCUGCUGAAACUGGGGACCUUCUCACAUCCCAAAAUAAAGAUUGGCCACAUGGACUUGACCUGGAAACAUAUCGUAUAAAUAGAAAAAAAAAAAAUUUUUAGAAAACUGGUGACCAUCUUCAAAAGAGAAAUGCAAAGGUCAGAUUUAACUUCAGCUGUUUCUCCAGUUAGAUUAUUGACUUAUCUCAGAGCUGUUUAGAAAGUUGAUAUAUGUGAAUAAAAUUCACUGCUGAUUAC